AGUCGAGCGAGAAAGUAUCUUCGGAUAUGAGUAGAGCGGCGGACGGGUGAGUAACGCGUAGGAAUCUACCUGGUAGAAGGGGAUAGCCCGGGGAAACUCGGAUUAAUACCGUAUACCUCCUUAGGGAGAAAGAGGGCCUCUCUUGAAGCUCUCGCUAUUAGAUGAGCCUGCGUAAGAUUAGCUUGUUGGUAAGGUAAUGGCUUACCAAGGCUACGAUCUUUAGCUGGUCUGAGAGGACGAUCAGCCACAUUGGGACUGAGACACGGCCCAGACUCCUACGGGAGGCAGCAGUGGGGAAUAUUGGACAAUGGGCGCAAGCCUGAUCCAGCCAUACCGCGUGUGUGAAGAAGGCCUUCGGGUUGUAAAGCACUUUAAGCAGGGAGAAAAAGCAAUAAGUUAAUACCUUGUUGCCGUGAUGUUACCUGCAGAAUAAGCACCGGCUAAUUCCGUGCCAGCAGCCGCGGUAAUACGGAAGGUGCAAGCGUUAAUCGGAAUUACUGGGCGUAAAGCGCGCGUAGGUGGUUUGUUAAGUUGGAUGUGAAAGCCUUGGGCUCAACCUAGGAUCUGCAUCCAAAACUAACUCACUAGAGUACGAUAGAGGGAGGUAGAAUUCAUAGUGUAGCGGUGGAAUGCGUAGAUAUUAUGAAGAAUACCAGUGGCGAAGGCGGCCUCCUGGAUCUGUACUGACACUAAGGUGCGAAAGCGUGGGUAGCGAACAGGAUUAGAUACCCUGGUAGUCCACGCCGUAAACGAUGACAACUAGCUGUUGGGAGACAAUGUCUUUCAGUGGCGCAGCUAACGUUUUAAGUUGUCCGCCUGGGGAGUACGGCCGCAAGGCUAAAACUCAAAUGAAUUGACGGGGACCCGCACAAGCGGUGGAGCAUGUGGUUUAA
rnacentral:rRNA from 1 species